GCGUCAUUAGCUCAGUUGGAUAGAGCAACCGCCUUCUAAGCGGUAGGUCACUGGUUCGAAUCCAGUAUGGCGUA
rnacentral:tRNA from 1 species